GAUGAACGCUGGCGGCGUGCCUAAUACAUGCAAGUCGAGCGAACAGACGAGGCGCUUGCUCCUCUGACGUUAGCGGCGGACGGGUGAGUAACACGUGGAUAACCUACCUAUAAGACUGGGAUAACUUCGGGAAACCGGAGCUAAUACCGGAUAAUAUAUUGAACCGCAUGGUUCAAUAGUGAAAGACGGUUUUGCUGUCUCUAAUAGAUGGAUCCGCGCCGCAUUAGCUAGUUGGUAAGGUAACGGCUUACCAAGGCAACGAUGCGUAGCCGACCUGAGAGGGUGAUCGGCCACACUGGAACUGAGACACGGUCCAGACUCCUACGGGAGGCAGCAGUAGGGAAUCUUCCGCAAUGGGCGAAAGCCUGACGGAGCAACGCCGCGUGAGUGAUGAAGGUCUUCGGAUCGUAAAACUCUGUUAUUAGGGAAGAACAAAUGUGUAAGUAACUAUGCACGUCUUGACGGUACCUAAUCAGAAAGCCACGGCUAACUACGUG
rnacentral:rRNA from 1 species